rnacentral:rRNA from 1 species
AACUUUUAACAAUGGAUCUCUAGGCUCUCAUAUCGAUGAAGAACACAGUGAAAUGUGAUAAGUAAUGUGAAUUGCAGAAUUCAGUGAAUCAUUGAAUCUUUGAACGCACCUUGCAUCUUUUGGUAUUCCAAAAGGUAUGCCUGUUUGAGUGUCAUGAAAAUCUCUCAUCCAAAUUAAUUUUUGGUGGAUGUUG